CUGUGCAUUCUGGAACAUGACAGGACAUGGCAACAACAAUUGAUUCUCUCAAUUGAGAUUGGUCAAGAGUGGAAGCCUUCAAGUAGAGCUGUGAAUGGCACUCUUAAAUCUGGUUCUGCUGACAUCAAUGGGACUUGCUUCAGAUAUAGAUACGGAGAGAGUGAUGGAGAUAUUUCCCAUAAAUUGAGGAGGAGAAAGGUGGAUCCCCUUUCUCUGAAGCAUCAGCCAUACUGUGAUACGAACUCAAUACAGAAGGAACGCAUAGACACAAUACGUGCUUAAGAACACUAGAAGGGGAUUAGAGAAAGAACCUGGAGUGAAAAAGAGAAGACUGACAAAAUGGCAGGAACUCUGAGUUGACUUUUGUUAAAUAACCCACUUUAAUUCUUCUACUGACCUCUUACUUGCUUCAUUCAACAUACUUCCUUAAAAAAUGGUGUUAUGUAGCCUAGCCAAGUUUUUGACGGCAUACAGACACCAGACAUCCAUAAUUUAUGGUUGUGCCUGUGGGUUUUUUGUGGCAAUCAGGACCUUGAGCGAACAAGAUCAUUUUCAUUAGCUGAUUAUGACCUAUAACAUAUGCUUUUAGGAAAUCAACAAAUGAACAAAACAAUAUGGAUCUAGAAGUCAAACUAAUGAUUCAGAAAUUGAAAAGAAAUUUAAGAUAACCUGACAACUAAAAAAAUACUAUUAUUAGGAUAACUAGUAUGUGUAACUACUUAAAUUUUGUAAAGUUUAACACAGUUAACUAUUUUGUCUAAUAUACCAGUGAUGUAUCCAACACCUGCUAAGCAACAUUAUGUCAUUAGCUUGCAAAAUUCUUGCCAUUGUAUUCUGGCAGACCUGUAACUGUUAAUAAUGUUGAAUAGUGUUUGAAGUUAAUAAGAAUGUUUCUAUUCUAGAAAUUAAGGUCAAUAAAACCCAAGUUUC